GGCGGCGUGCUUAACACAUGCAAGUCAAGGGGGCCCAGCAAUGGGCAACCGGCGAACGGGUGCGUAACACGUGAGCAACCUACCGAACUGUGGGGGAUAGCCGGCCUAACGGCCGAGUAAUACCGCAUACGCUCUCAGUGAGGCAUUUCAUUGAGAGGAAACCUACGGGACAGAUCGAGGGGCUCGCGGCCUAUCAGCUAGUUGGCGAGGUAACGGCUCACCAAGGCAACGACGGGUAGCUGGUCUGAGAGGAUGGCCAGCCACAUUGGGACUGAGAUACGGCCCAGACUCCUACGGGAGGCAGCAGUGGGGAAUCUUGCGCAAUGGCCUAACGGCUGACGCAGCGACGCCGCGUGUGGGAUGAAGCUCUUCGGAGUGUAAACCACUGUUGCCCGGGACGAACAGCUCGAUUAGUC
rnacentral:rRNA from 1 species